CCUACGGGGGGCUGCAGUGGGGAAUAUUGGACAAUGGGGGCAACCCUGAUCCAGCCAUGCCGCGUGUGUGAAGAAUGCCCUCGGGUUGUAAAGCACUUUCAGUGAGGAAGAACGCCUGGUGGUUAAUACCCAUCAGGAAAGACAUCACUCACAGAAGAAGCACCGGCUAACUCCGUGCCAGCAGCCGCGGUAAUACGGAGGGUGCGAGCGUUAAUCGGAAUUACUGGGCGUAAAGCGCGCGUAGGUGGCUUGAUAAGCCGGUUGUGAAAGCCCCGGGCUCAACCUGGGAACGGCAUCCGGAACUGUCAAGCUAGAGUGCAGGAGAGGAAGGUAGAAUUCCCGGUGUAGCGGUGAAAUGCGUAGAGAUCGGGAGGAAUACCAGUGGCGAAGGCGGCCUUCUGGACUGACACUGACACUGAGGUGCGAAAGCGUGGGUAGCAAACAGGAUUAGAUACCCCAGUAGUC
rnacentral:rRNA from 1 species